AGAGUUUGAUCAUGGCUCAGGACGAACGCUGCGGCGUGCUUAACACAUGCAAGUCGACGAUGAAGUGGAGCUUGCUCCACGGAUUAGUGGCGAACGGGUGAGGAACACGUGAGAAACCUGCCCCAGACUUUGGGAUAACAAAUGGAAACGUUUGCUAAUACCAAAUACCGUCGGAGAGUCACAUGACUUUCUGACGAAAGGUAUUCCGGUUUGGGAGGGUCUCGCGGCCUAUCAGCUAGUUGGCGGGGUAAUGGCCCACCAAGGCAACGACGGGUAGCUGGUCUGAGAGGAUGGUCAGCCACACUGGGACUGAGACACGCCCCAGACUCCUACGGGAGGCAGCAGUGGGGAAUCUUGCGCAAUGGGCGAAAGCCUGACGCAGCAACGCCGCGUGCGGGAAGAAGGCUUUCGGGCUGUAAACCGCUUUCAGCAGGAACGAAAAUGACGGUACCUGCAGAAGAAGGAGCGGCCAACUAUGUGCCAGCAGCCGCGGUGAUACAUAGGCUUCAAGCGUUGUCCGGAUUUAUUGGGCGUAAAGAGUUCGUAGGCGGUCAAGUAAGUCGGGUGUGAAAAUUCUGGGCUUAACCCAGAGACGCCACCCGAUACUGCUUAACUUGAGUUCGAUAGGGGAGUGGGGAAUUCCUA
rnacentral:rRNA from 1 species